AGACAGGCUACUCGCGAUACGAAUUCAUCAUCAUCAUCAUCAUCAUCAUCAUCAUCAUAAUCAUCAUCAUAAUCAUAAUCAUCAUAAUCAUAUAAUCAUUUCCGAAACUAUCAAAUACUAGAAUUCUAAGAGAAAGAGAAAAAGAGAUAGAAAGAAACAGAGAUAGAUAGAGAAAAUAUCAGGUUAUCCCAAGAGUUCUCCUUCAUUUUUGUGAAAUUUUUACGAUUUUAUUUAUCUUUUUUAGGAAUAAAUCAUACUUAUACAUCCUAUAUUUUAGUGAUAUUUUAUUAGUUAUAAAAUUUUAUGUAUCAUAAAAUUUAUAUCGUAUACUUAGAUUAGACAGAGUAGUUAGAAUACCGUAUUCUUGAAAUUUUUACUAUUCUAUUUUUCCAAAGUUUUGAUUUAUUUACAAAACAUUUUUCUUAUAAAGAAUCAUUAAGUUUUAUUUUAUUUAUCGAUGAAAAAAACUUUUGGGACAAUUUGAUAAAAAGAUAGAAAAGAGAUAGAAGAAAAUAGAGGUUAUGGUUGACGGUCGACGCGUCAAUUCGUUUCAUUUCAUUCUUUUUUUUCUCGAUUGCCCAUGGAUGGAUCGAGGAGACCAUUGAAGCGGAUUUAAAAUAAUGCAGGAGUCCGUCCCAUCUGUAGAGAUCGUUCCAUUUAAAUAGUGUAUGAUACACAUUGUUAGAUACAACAAAUAUCCAGAGCAGGGGGACGAAGACACUGAUAGAAACCAGAUAUGGCACAAGUAGCAGUUCACAGAGAAUGGAUUUCAUUGCACGCAAUCAAGUGAGUACGAUCGACAAUGCAAAGAGCAAUGAAUGAAUUGAUGAGAAUUAUUAUUAAUUACGAGCAUGAUAAUCAGCUCCAUCCUGAAACAGAUGAAAAGGUUCGUCAUAUGUAUUUGCAAUAACGACGCAUUAGAAAGAUAUAUUGAAGAAAAUGAUACCAUAAUGCGUUGCACUGUUAAGAAAUCAAAAACCUGAUGAUCAAAAUUCCAAAUUAUACGCGCAUAAUAUAGUAUUGUAGUAUACACGCGUACAUUAACACAUAAGGAAGAUUGUACAAUACACACAAAGCAAUAUAAUAUGUAUAUAUAUAAUGUAUAUAUAUAUAUAGUUCAUAUGUAUAUAGAUACACUGUAUUUUGCACAACGAUCACUGUGCUAAAAAAGACUGUUAGGAAAGGCGUACAUCGGCAAUAGCUAGUACGACAAAAACUUCAAUAUCAGUGCAGACAUUAAGUAGAGACACCAGUGUAACUCUGUACACUGGAAAGCACACCAUAGAGUACAAGGCUACAAUCAUUGUAGCGAUCGUAUCCUCUUUCAUUUUUCCCUCGGUUUUUACUUAUCGUUCCCUUCUCUUUUCUUUAUUUGUUUUUCUUUUCUCGUAUCAAUUCUGGUCGAAAAACCAAAGCCCUGAUUCAAACGUAACGGAUUGAAGAUCAGAAGAAUAAAAAAUAUCACUA